UAGGAAUAGAAAUGAAUAUUAUGUUUCAGAAUUAGUUUAUUAAAAUACGCAUACACAUUGGGCAAGUUUAUCUUCGUGCGUGACUGACUAGAAAGCGCGGUGAUUUUCUUUCGAUUUUCCUUUGCUCUCCUUCAUUCUCUUUCCCUGUAUACUGCCAAUUUCUUACGCCCUCUCAUGCUCUCUCACUGUGAUAAGUCAUCGAAUCGAAACUAAUCUUUAAGUUUAAACAUGUAGAUACAGUAACACUGCAAUAUCUUCCCGCUGAACAUCCAUUUUGGCUGUUUCCAUAAUAUAAAGUAUAAAUCUAUAUUUGACGAAUUUUUAAAAUGGCCCUUUGAAUUUCUCUCUUGAGUGAAGUGCAUAUAAUUUCAUCUCCGACGAAGGUAUGCUCGAGUAACUCUUUUCUUAUAGUGGCGUACAUAUACGACGGAGGAUGACAGUUGGCGAGUUCUCAUCUCUUUUUCGACACGUGCGAUCGUCGGAAAAAAGAUGCGAAGCUUCUGUAUUAGUACAUUGCAGUAUGGGUUCAAGAACACUAUACGGAUGUAAUUCUCUAGUAGACAAGUUCAUGCUCUCUCGGCAACGCUAUCGAAGGAAACAUUGUCGUUAUUGUAUACCGGAGGAAAACUUUGUUCUUCACAAUAUAAGAGAAAACUAUAUUAAGUAUUUUUCUCUUAUAUUCUCUUCGCAUGAAAGUUUCUAAACAAUACGCCCUGUAAAACUUCAGUCUCUCUUUCUUUCUUUCCCGCAAGUGUAUUGCGAGCAAAAACAGGAUGCUUGUAACGAUGAAAUGCAUGCACGCAUAAGGUCUUAAAUGAUUAAUAAGAAACGAGCAUAUUGUGUAAAAGUUUCUAAACACCAGAAUAUACCUCGUGAAACUCCUCGUCUCUCAUUCUUCCUUUGUUCCUCGCAAGUUUACAAGCGAGCAAAAACACAGGGCUUAGAACGAUCAACUGCACGCGCAUAUAUAAGAGAAAACUAAGUAGAAAGAGAAAAAAUGCAAAAACUAUAGGAGGCGGAACGCAUCCGAUAAUGACUAGGUGCAGUGCUCGAACGCUAUUGAAUAUUUAACGCGAUGCAUCAAUGUGGUCAUCGAGCAGCUUGCCAACUAGUGCUGAUCCAGCCACCGUAGGGCAAGCUCUCUGUCAUCAGAGUCGUUGAAUUCAUACUAUUCUAUUGCAGCUUUGCAGAAACGCUCACAGAUAAGGUGAGAAGAUGAAAAGUACACAUUGCGCUUAUAAUAUAAGAGAAAAUUAAUUAUCAGACUAGCGCAAUUGCCGAGUCAGUCUACAACUGCAAAUGGACUGAGAAGAAUCAUAAGCUGAGGUUUUACCUUCAAAUGAUUAUCAUAAAAUCGCAGAGACCAUUUUACUGCACCACCUAAGGCUUCUUUCCAAUAGGACAUGCAAGACUAGCAUCCAUUAUAAGUACAUCGUUUUCAUAUCUGAUGAUGCUGCAAAGUGUUACCCAGUAAAAUUAUUUUCUUGUUAUUAGUCCUUAAUAAUAUCCAUAUUGUUGCAAAAUAUUGCCCGAAAAAGCGUAAUUUUUAGGUAUAAUUGGUAGAAAUUUCGUCCAGUAUUCUCCAGUCUAUCGAAAUAGAGCAGUGACUGGACAGUAAUGCCUGAUAUGGUCAAUACUGCUUUUUUUUCUAUUAGGGAAUCGUCUUGGAAAUUUCUCAAGGUCAAUUUCGUAGAAAAAAAACACCGUAAAAUACUUCAAAAUUAUUAUUAAUAAAAAAUCUCAUUGUUUUUAUAAUACACUAUAAAUAAAUCAGUUAAAACUGUGAUUUGAAUUC